UCCGUAGGUGAACCUGCGGAAGGAUCAUUCAUAAUCAAGUGUUUUUAUGGCACUUUAAAAUCCAUAUCCACCUUGUGUGCAAUGUCAUCUCACUGGGGUCACGGCUGUAAAACGCCGGCGGCCCGUUUGGGAUUUAUAUCUACUCAGAAUUUUAAUCAUUUUGUCUGAAACAUAUUAUGAAUAACUUAAUUCAAAAUACAACUUUCAACAACGGAUCUCUUGGCUCUCGCAUCGAUGAAGAACGCAGCGAAAUGCGAUACGUAAUGUGAAUUGCAGAAUUCAGUGAAUCAUCGAAUCUUUGAACGCAUAUUGCGCUCUCUGGUAUUCCGGAGAGCAUGCUUGUUUGAGUAUCAGUAAACACCUCAACUCUAUUUCUUCUUGAAAUGGAGCUGGACUUGAGUGAUCCCAACGCUUUUCUCAAAAGUGGCGGGUUACUUGAAAUGCAGGUGCAGCUGGACUUUUCUCUGAGCUAAAAGCAUAUCUAUUUAGUCUGCCUAAAAAACAGAUUAUUACCUUUGCUGCAGCUAACAUAAAGGAGAUUAGUUCUUGUGCUGACUGAUGCAGGAUUCACAGAGACCGCUUCGGCUGUCUUUGUAAACUCGAUCUCAAAUCAAGUAAGACUACCCGCUGAACUUAAGCAUAUCAAUAAGCGGAGGAA
rnacentral:rRNA from 1 species